CCUACGGGUGGCUGCAGUUAGGAAUCUUGGACAAUGGGCGAAAGCCUGAUCCAGCCAUGCCGCGUGAGUGAUGAAGGCCUUAGGGUUGUAAAGCUCUUUCAGCGGGGAAGAUAAUGACGGUACCCGCAGAAGAAGCCCCGGCUAACUUCGUGCCAGCAGCCGCGGUAAUACGAAGGGGGCUAGCGUUGCUCGGAAUCACUGGGCGUAAAGCGCACGUAGGCGGAUUGCUAAGUCAGGGGUGAAAUCCUGGAGCUCAACUCCAGAACUGCCCUUGAUACUGACGAUCGUGAGUCCGGGAGAGGUGAGUGGAACUGCGAGUGUAGAGGUGAAAUUCGUAGAUAUUCGCAAGAACACCAGUGGCGAAGGCGGCUCACUGGCCCGGUACUGACGCUGAGGUGCGAAAGCGUGGGGAGCAAACAGGAUUAGAUACCCUAGUAGUC
rnacentral:rRNA from 1 species